rnacentral:lncRNA from 1 species
CCGCCGCCACCUCCGCCCUUAGUACUGCUGCUACUAUCGCCGCUGCCGCCUUGAUUCUCCGCGCCCGGAACCGAAGGAAAGGAAUGAGAAAGUCCGUUCCGGGAGAGCAAACGUCUUCCCCCCUCCGCACCCAGUGAACACAAUCAGCUGCCACUGCCGCUGCCGCCGCUGCUGCCGCUGCCGCCGCCGCCGCCGCUCGGCUCUCGCUUCCACCCAAAAUGGCCGCCGCCGAACCAGGAAAUAGGGAAGCCUCAGACCGAAGGGCCUUUACACAGCCCAGAGGGCGGCCGCACCGCACUGCAUGCUGGGCAAGAUAGUCCAGGCACGCGCCGGGAGGCCCCGCAGCCAGAUGGUUUGGCAAGGCCGCUGGGACUCGCUUUCCCGACGAGCCCGGCGCCCUCGGAGCAUGCGCAUUGAGGGAGCUGUUGACCACCCCACUUUACCCUACUUCCCCUCCCUUUCCUCUCUCCUCCCGACUGUCUCUCGAGAGAAGGCUCCGCUCUGACUCCCCCUAGCGGAUUGGUUAAACCUGAGCGGCCUCGGUGAUGUCAUCAGUGAAACGUGGCAGCUGGGCGAGUCAGCAAGCUAAAGGGGAGAGGAGGGUCGGGGGAGGGGCUGAAUUUCAGCAGAUAGGUGGGGCGAGAAGCGAGGGGCGGAGAAGGGGAAGAGAAAGGAAUCGGAAGGAAGGAAGAAAAGGGAAGGGUCCAGCUGGAGAGGAAGCCCUAGAGAGAGGAAGCCUAAAGAGAACUGGGUAUCCAAGACAUGUUGCCUUGCCUACAGAGUUAACAACACAAUUCAGUGGAGUGGAACAUACCAGCCUUUCCAUGGAAGGUGCUGUGGGAGAGAGGAAUUUCAGAUCCAACUUUCUGUGA